UACGUAGGGUGCGAGCGUUAAUCGGAAUUACUGGGCGUAAAGCGUGCGCAGGCGGCGCGUUAAGACAGGUGUGAAAGCCCCGAGCUUAACUUGGGAAUUGCGCUUGUGACUGGCGUGCUGGAGUGUGGCAGAGGGAGGUGGAAUUCCACGUGUAGCAGUGAAAUGCGUAGAGAUGUGGAGGAACACCGAUGGCGAAGGCGACAUCCUGGACCGGUAUUGACGCUGAGGCGCGAAAGCCAGGGGAGCAAACGGG
rnacentral:rRNA from 1 species